rnacentral:rRNA from 1 species
UACGAAGGGGGCUAGCGUUGUUCGGAAUUACUGGGCGUAAAGCGCACGUAGGCGGCUUUGUAAGUUAGAGGUGAAAGCCCAGGGCUUAACCCUGGAAUUGCCUUUAAGACUGCAUCGCUAGAAUCGUGGAGAGGUAAGUGGAAUUCCGAGUGUAGAGGUGAAAUUCGUAGAUAUUCGGAAGAACACCAGUGGCGAAGGCGACUCACUGGACACGUAUUGACGCUGAGGUGCGAAAGCGUGGGGAGCAAACAGG